UCUUCUAUUCACACUGCAGCCAAGGAAUUUUGCCUCUACCGCUCAGUCUUCUCUCUGUUCGCGACGUCCUCUGUGUUCGCGGCAUUUCUUCCUCUCGCGGGCUAGGGUUCGCGACAGAUUCAACAGGCGACUUCAUUCCUCCGAGUUCUGAGUUCGAGCAGCAACAUCUUCUCCAGAUUUGGUCAGCACAGCAGACUUCAAUUCCAGCACUACUUCCUUCAUCCGGACCAGAUUUGGCCAGUCACAGCUCCACCUUUUCUUCCACAACAGUCUUCAAGUUCGAUCAGCAAUUCUUCAACAGAUCUGGACAGCUUUUGUUUGUUGCAGUUUCUUCACUUGAUUCGAAUUGAUAGUGAUGUUUCUUUUAGUUGAUUGUUUGAUGCUUGUAUUGAGUUGUUCUCCCUUGUUUUAGAUUUGCACGUACUCAUGUCAUUUCGAUUUAUGCUCAUAAGGUGUUCGACAAAAUGUUUCUUCCAACAGUAGGUUUAAAUUCGUGCACUUUAUUUCACUUAAUGUUUGCUUGUCUUAUCUUUUGCAAUUGCUAUAAGUUUUGUUCUUCAUUUGAAUGCAAUUAGGCUAGGGCAGAUUAGCUUUCUUUAAUGCUCUAAGUUACAUUCCAUGCUUAGUUUCAUUACAUGCUUAGUUUCAAUAUCGCUACUAGUAUUUCAUGUUUGGAAAUAGAUUUAAGCGAGAAGUUUGCAGGCUGACGACAUCUUUGCCAUGUGCAAUUCAAUCUUUGUAGGAUCUUGAAGCACAAACAAAGUGAUUGUUUGUGCUUUAUCUAAGUGAUUGUUUGAACAGUUUUAUAGCAUGCAUCUUGACAAUUAAUAUAAUUUUGAAGAUCACUAUCAAGGAAGAAUGUUCAAAGGAAAGUAAAGGCUAAGGAGAAGAUCACGUAAUUAACUACACGGGUCUAGUGAAAAUACUGAAGAAGUAUGACAAGAGAACAGAAGCACUUAUCAGGCAGCCAUUCAUCGAAAAGAAUGCGACGGACAAAAUGGAGUGCCAAAGCCGGCACAAUCAGGUGGGAGGGUUCCGGAGUUGGAGGAGAUUAAAUAUAUGCAGAGCUUAUACAUGAAGAGCACCGUAGCAGCGCUGCGGUCCUUGAAACAGAUUAGGAGCAAAAGUUCAACAGUCAAAACAGAUUAGAA